rnacentral:misc_RNA from 1 species
AAGUCGUAACAAGGUUUCCGUAGGUGAACCUGCGGAAGGAUCAUUAGCUAAGUCGAACGCCCCGGAGGCCGAGUAGGCGGUAAGGGGCUAGUACACAACGGCGGCACACCCUUGCGCAUUGUUAUCCGUUUGCCUUGGCAGAGCUUUGGGCCUCUCCGGCCCAACUUCCUGCUGGCUCUAUCCCCCACACCUCCCAUCGGGACGGCGGGGGGACAGCCGGCGGUGGGGCGGCCCUGCCGAGGUUUUCUCCAACCACUUUAUUUUAAACCAAUUUGCCUGAAAAUAUAAAUCGUAAUAAUGAAAACAUAACUUUCAACAACGGAUCUCUUGGCUCUC